ACCUAUGAGGCUAUUCGUGUCAUGAAAAUUAUUACAAUUGUCAACAUACAUUUACAAAUUAAGAUAUACAAUUUUCCUCUAAAUAUCAAUUAAUAAAUUAGUUUUUUGUAGGAAACCCAGCAGAUUUUCUAUUCUUUCCCUAUCAUCUCCUAGUACGAACUGCAAUGAGCCGUUUAAAUUAAAUUCACACCUUUCAUUAUCAUAUUUACGGCAUUCUAACAAAACAUGUUUCACAUCAUUUGUAACAUUACAAGUCGAGCAAAGAUUUACUGUUGCACCUUCCAUUAAAUGACCAUGAGUUAAUCUUGUAUGACCUAUUCUUAAUCUACAAAUCACUACCUCCUCCCAUCGCCUUCCUCUAAACGCAGUAUCCCAAGCAAUAGUGUUACAUUUGACUGAUCUCAAUUUUUGAUUUGUUCUCCACCAUUCAUUUUCCCAUAUUUUUCGAUAUUCACGAAUUAUUUCUUUUUUAAUAUCCUUCAAUGAUAAUUUUGUCAUUAAAAUGGGAUCGUGUAAUGCCGCCUCUUUUGCAUCCACGUCAGCUUUUUCGUUUCCAUGAAUCUGUUUGUGUGCUGGUAUCCAGCACAAUGUAAUAUUUUGAUUUUCUCUACAGCGAGUUGCAAUUCGUUUUACAAUAGGAUGAUCUGGACGACUAUUUUUGGUAGCUUUUAACACACUCAUUGAGUCUGUGAAAAUCACACAGGCGCUUCUUAGAGAAGCUGCUUCGUCAACCGCCCAAAGUAUGGCAUAAGCCUCCGCACUAAAAAUGGAACAAGCAUUCGGAAGUUUUACUCGUUUGUUGAAAUCCGAUGAUACAACACUACAUCCUACCCCAAACUGUGAUUUUGAUCCAUCUGUAUAAAAUUCUACAAAGUUUCUAAAUUUGCGAGACUUAAGAUCUUGAAAAAUAUGUUUGUGCGCAUAAUCAGGAACUUUUUUACCUUUGGUCCACAUAUCAAAACAGAUUUUCGGGCUUGGUAGUUUCCAGUUUGCAUCAUCUACAGAAGUUUCUAGCAUCUCUGGAAGAUUCAAUGCUCUUUGCGAAAGAAUAUUAUUAGAUCUUUGAUGUAUAGGUAAGUUAGAACUUCUAUGAAUAUGAGUAGCAGUUUUUGUUUUAAUAGAAAAUAAAAUGAUGUUCAUUUCCAUAAGCAUGUUCAACGGUAAUUCGCCAGAUUCUGCUAAAAUGCUUUCGAUCGGACUAGAUUUAAAGGCUCCUAUAGCUAGUCGGAUUCCUUGAUUGUGAACCGGGAAUAAUUUUUUCAAAUUUGUUUUGGAAGCUGAACUCCAUGCAGCGAAACCAUAUAAUAACUUCGACAGGACCAUAGCUUUAUAAAUUCGUAAAAGCAUUUUUCUGUCUCCACCAUGUCGAACUCCAGCACACCAUUGAACAAUUUUCAUUCUAUUGAGACAUUCACUUUUUAAUUCGUGUAUGUGUUUGCUGAACAACAGUUUCCUAUCUAGAUAUAUUCCAAGUAUUUUUUGAGCAUUUGUGAAACCAAUUUGUUGGCCUCUAUAUAUCAGAUUUGAUCCAAAAGAUUCAUGAGCCAUUUCUGAUACAGCCUUCAAGUUCGACCAAGUGAUCUGUUGUAGACCUUCCUCUUCGGAAGGCGAACUGGCGAUAAUCAAGAAGCGAUCGCUCCUCGAGAAGGCUAAACAAACGUCUACUAACUAGGCGCUCAAGUAGUUUCCCCGGUGUACUGUUAAGAACGAUAACUCUAUGAUUGUUCAAUUCCCAAGAAUUCUUUCCAGGUUUUGGAAAAGCAACGGCAUGCCCAUGUUUCCAUAUGUCCGGAUAACAUCCUUCCCUCCAACAAUGGUUGAAUAUUUCUAACAUUUUAAUUUUGCCACACGCAGGGAGGUUCUUCAACAUAAGAUUGUGUAUCCCAUCCGGUCCGGGGGAUGUACCUUUAAGGUGAUCAAGGUUUAGUAACUGGUCUUCUUUCGAUAAUUGCUUUUCUUUUUCUAAAAUUCAAAUUAUACAAAUCAUCGGAUGUAGUUUCUUCAAAGUGAUUAACAAGAGCCUCGGCUACUUCUUCUGGUCUGUCGAUCAUAAUUCCAUCAACUUCAAUAACCU